AUUGAACGCUGGCGGCAGGCUUAACACAUGCAAGUCGAGCGGAGAUGAGGUGCUUGCACCUUAUCUUAGCGGCGGACGGGUGAGUAAUGCUUAGGAAUCUGCCUAUUAGUGGGGGACAACAUUCCGAAAGGAAUGCUAAUACCGCAUACGUCCUACGGGAGAAAGCAGGGGAUCUUCGGACCUUGCGCUAAUAGAUGAGCCUAAGUCGGAUUAGCUAGUUGGUGGGGUAAAGGCCUACCAAGGCGACGAUCUGUAGCGGGUCUGAGAGGAUGAUCCGCCACACUGGGACUGAGACACGGCCCAGACUCCUACGGGAGGCAGCAGUGGGGAAUAUUGGAAAAUGGGGGGAACCCUGAUCCAGCCAUGCCGCGUGUGUGAAGAAGGCCUUAUGGUUGUAAAGCACUUUAAGCGAGGAUGAGGCUACUGAGACUAAUACUCUUGGAUAGUGGACGUUACUCGCAGAAUAAGCACCGGCUAACUUUGUGCCAGCCGCCGCGGUAACAC
rnacentral:rRNA from 1 species